CAGAAAUGUACCCAAUAAUUUCCUAUAAAAUUUUUCAAAGUCCUUUUAUUCCCCUGACACACUCAGGGUGAAUUUUUAUCUCCUUGGCAAAUAAGAAAAAAAAGGAGAGAGACCACUGGAGAGAUAUCAGCAAACCACCCACAGUAACCAAGUUCAGUAUUUCCUCUUUCUAUAUUUUGACCAAUAUAUUAAGAGCAAGUUUUGUCAUUAUUACUCCUUGUGGCUAUUACCUGAGAUCAGAUAAUAUAAUCUCAGCUCAUAAAGCUUGGCCAUUUCUAUACUUAUCUUGGAGAGCAAUAACAAACUUGAUUAAUUUGUUUGGUUAUUUAAAAUUCCAACUUUCAUAAAUGCUCUGUGAUGUACUCAAGACGAUUGGGUUGUGUGAUACUAACUUCCUGCAAGAACUCAGUCUGUUCCCUGUUGUCUGGUUCAGAGGUCCACCAGGGCAAAAUAGAAGCCUUGCCGAGAAAGUGAACUGUCUUACUCCUUCAAAGGAAUCAGAUGUUGCUCUAGAGAAGACUCCAGGCAUCUACUUGGUUGAGCUCAAAUGAGAUAAUGCCUGUGAUUAGUGAAUGGCGGCAUUAUUCCUGAAGACAAAUGAAGGAAGAUAGGGACCAAGAUCGACUGUCAUUUGAAUGAUGGAAGAGAAGUAGAAUUACUGUGAGGUUACAAAAAUCGUAAGUUAGCAGACAUUGAGAAAGGAAAACUUCCUACUUGGGCUUUUCAGGCUUAUGUGACAUUAUCUGGAUGUGUUUUCUAGUCUUUCCUAAAGGAGAAAUUUUUAUUCCUGGGUUGCUGAAAGCUUUCUGGACUAAAAGGAUAUAAGCAGCUCAAUAGCAGCAUAGAGGAUUAGAUUAAUGGAACAGCACUGCAUACAGGAAACCUAAAUCUCCAAUAGUUUAGGCUGCAAGUCAGUAGCCAAACACAAGAGCAUGUAAGAUUUGGAGGACAAAGUAUAAAUAUUUUAAGUUUACACAACCAAGAUUAUAGGCUACCUUCCCAACUUCUAAUUUGAAGAGCACUGAAAACGGAGCUGUGAACACUUCAUUUUAAAAACCUGACAAUAUGGUGCUAUUGACUACUUAAUACAAAGAUAUAUUACAAUAUUUUUAGGUAAAUGUAUUAAGUCUGGCCUGGGCAUAAAUGUACAUACAGAAAAUGUUUGUAGAGAAUUCAUCAAAAUCAUGCCCAUUUGCUGUUGUAGAGCUACAGUAUUCUUCAAUGGUGGUGACUGACCAGUGAGUUUCUACUUCCUACAGAUGGGACACAACAGUCAUGGGCUGUCUCAGCUGCCCAAAGCCUGAGGCAGACCACAUGAGAGCUGUGGCUUCUUCUUGGAUUCAGGUUGGAUAACCCAAUUCAGUAAUUAAAUAUGUAAAUUUUGGGGGGGGGUUGGGGGGUGUUUUCUAGGAACUUGAAGAGUACGUGACAUUAUAAAAAAUGGGUGUUGGAAGACUAAUUGUAGAAAUUUGACCUGAGGGCCAAUGUUACUUGGUGUAAGUUCACUCAGACAGACAUGUCAGAACAUGCCCAAAGAAGCCUAUAUCUUGCUGCUGGGAAAUGUAAAGCAGUUUGCAUGUAGAAUAUGAUAAUAAAUCAUUUAAGAACCCACCA
rnacentral:lncRNA from 1 species